rnacentral:rRNA from 1 species
CAGGCUUAACACAUGCAAGUCGAGGGGCAGCAUGGUCUUAGCUUGCUAAGGCCGAUGGCGACCGGCGCACGGGUGAGUAACACGUAUCCAACCUGCCGUCUACUCUUGGACAGCCUUCUGAAAGGAAGAUUAAUACAAGAUGGCAUCAUGAGUCCGCAUGUUCACAUGAUUAAAGGUAUUCCGGUAGACGAUGGGGAUGCGUUCCAUUAGAUAGUAGGCGGGGUAACGGCCCACCUAGUCUUCGAUGGGUAGGGGUUCUGAGAGGAAGGUCCCCCACAUUGGAACUGAGACACGGUCCAAACUCCUACGGGAGGCAGCAGUGAGGAAUAUUGGUCAAUGGGCGAGAGCCUGAACCAGCCAAGUAGCGUGAAGGAUGACUGCCCUAUGGGUUGUAAACUUCUUUUAUAAAGGAAUAAAGUCGGGUAUGGAUACCCGUUUGCAUGUACUUUAUGAAUAAGGAUCGGCUAACUCCGUGCCAGCAGCCGCGGUAAUACGGAGGAUCCGAGCGUUAUCCGGAUUUAUUGGGUUUAAAGGGAGCGUAGAUGGAUGUUUAAGUCAGUUGUGAAAGUUUGCGGCUCAACCGUAAAAUUGCAGUUGAUACUGGAUAUCUUGAGUGCAGUUGAGGCAGGCGGAAUUCGUGGUGUAGCGGUGAAAUGCUUAGAUAUCACGAAGAACUCCGAUUGCGAAGGCAGCCUGCUAAGCUGCAACUGACAUUGAGGCUCGAAAGUGUGGGUAUCAAACAGGAUUAGAUACCCUGGUAGUCCACACGGUAAACGAUGAAUACUCGCUGUUUGCGAUAUACUGCAAGCGGCCAAGCGAAAGCGUUAAGUAUUCCACCUGGGGAGUACGCCGGCAACGGUGAAACUCAAAGGAAUUGACGGGGGCCCGCACAAGCGGAGGAACAUGUGGUUUAAUUCGAUGAUACGCGAGGAACCUUACCCGGGCUUAAAUUGCAGAUGAAUUACGGUGAAAGCCGUAAGCCGCAAGGCAUCUGUGAAGGUGCUGCAUGGUUGUCGUCAGCUCGUGCCGUGAGGUGUCGGCUUAAGUGCCAUAACGAGCGCAACCCUUGUUGUCAGUUACUAACAGGUUCCGCUGAGGACUCUGACAAGACUGCCAUCGUAAGAUGUGAGGAAGGUGGGGAUGACGUCAAAUCAGCACGGCCCUUACGUCCGGGGCUACACACGUGUUACAAUGGGGGGUACAGAGGGCCGCUACCACGCGAGUGGAUGCCAAUCCCCAAAACCUCUCUCAGUUCGGACUGGAGUCUGCAACCCGACUCCACGAAGCUGGAUUCGCUAGUAAUCGCGCAUCAGCCACGGCGCGGUGAAUACGUUCCCGGGCCUUGUACACACCGCCCGUCAAGCCAUGGGAGCCGGGGGUACCUGAAGUGCGUAACCGCGAGGAGCGCCCUAGGGUAAAACUGGUGACUGGGGCUAAGA